rnacentral:misc_RNA from 1 species
GAUGAAGAACGCAGCGAAAUGCGAUAACUAAUGUGAAUUGCAGAAUUCCGUGAAUCAUCGAGUCUUUGAACGCACAUUGCGCCCCCUGGUAUUCCGGGGGGCAUGCCUGUCCGAGCGUCAUUGCUGCCCAUCAAGCACGGCUUGUGUGUUGGGUCCUCGUCCCCCCCGGGGGACGUACCCGAAAGGCAGCGGCGGCACCGCGUCCGGUCCUCGAGCGUAUGGGGCUUUGUCACCCGCUCUGCAGGCCCGGCCGGCGCUGGCCGACGCGAAAGCAACCAUUUUUUCUCCAGGUUGACCUCGGAUCAGGUAGGGAUACCCGCUGAACUUAAGCAUAUCAAUAAGCGGAGGA